rnacentral:lncRNA from 1 species
CCUGCCUUUCCCAACUGCUCUCCAACAGCCAGAACUUCUGUGGCCUUAAACUACACUAAGCCUGCAGACUCACAGUGCAACAUACCCUCUGGUGAGGAAUACACACCAAGUUGUUGGUGCUGAUUCGACGGACCAUUUGGAGAGAACAGGUUGUACACCUGAAAUCUUAUUUCUUAGGACAUAUUAAAGUAAUUUUGAGUUAAAACUCCAUUCACUCACAGCAACAAGAGAGAUAAAACUGUUAGUAUUUAUCCAAAGAAGAAUGCUACUUUCUACUGUUGAUCUUGACAAAACAACCUCAGUGUCAUAAACCACUGAAAAACUACAUAGAAUCAAACUUGCUGGCAGAAGAACCAUGCCAUCAGUCUGUCUUCAAAUAGAGAUCAGGAGACGUUACAUUACUGACUGAAGUAAAAAUCUUUCUCCUGAUGUAGAACCUAAUUUUUCAAUACAUCUCCAGGCAAGAUAAUAUGACUAAAUUCAUUUGAAUUAUUUUAUUUCUACAUUUUGCUUCAUAGUAAAAGGAGUACAGUUUCUCUUGCAGGUCAGGAGUAUCCAUGAGACCUAAAGUAGUCCAAUGAGAUUGGGAUCUGAAAUGUGAAAUGACAAAGAAAUUCUUAUUGUGGCACAGCAAAGGAGGCAGAAUUAAUAUCCCAGAGCAGCAUGUGGCAAUGACAACACUCAGUGCUCCAUUCUGAAGGUGUCAGCAGUGUGAGCUGCAGGGGGGUUGUACCUGGUGACAAUGGAAGCUGUGUGCUCACCCAAGCAUGGAGUUCUGCAUGUGAUUUGUGCCAUUUUCCCUGAAAACGCAAUCUCUGAUCCUGAUUUUUCAUUCCCAUAUGAUUCCUAAUUUCCUUUUAG